CAGCCGCACGGUAAUACGGAGGGUGCAAGCGUUAUCCGGAUUUAUUGGGUUUAAAGGGUCCGUAGGCGGAUCUGUAAGUCAGUGGUGAAAUCUCACAGCUUAACUGUGAAACUGCCAUUGAUACUGCAGGUCUUGAGUAAAUUUGAAGUGGCUGGAAUAAGUAGUGUAGCGGUGAAAUGCAUAGAUAUUACUUAGAACACCAAUUGCGAAGGCAGGUCACUAAGAUUUAACUGACGCUGAUGGACGAAAGCGUGGGGAGCGAACAGGAUUAGAUACCCGCGUAGUCCCUGUCUCUUAUACA
rnacentral:rRNA from 1 species